CACCAGAGAAACACCAAAAGAAAGAGGACCCCACCAUCUGGGAAAGAUUAUCAAAGCCAAAAAGGAGAUAUCUAUAUCUAUAUCUUCAGAGCGAUGGAAAUAAGGAAGUGUGACCCAGUGGCCAAAAACCGCAUCUAGAACACAAGGACCACUGGGCACCUGUGAAAUGUGAUGACAUUAGACGACAUCAGUUUAGAAAGAAGCGCGGCUCUUUUUCUUCAACUGUACUCCGUCCGA